CUAAGCAAGAAAGAGCGUAUGGCGGAUGCCUAGGCACUAAGAGGCGAAGAAGGACGCAGCGAACGGCGAAACGCGACGGCGAGCAGUAAGCAGGCAACGACCCGUCGAUGUCCGAAUGGGGGAACCCAUCAUUCUGAGAGGGAUGAUAUCGUCUGAUGAAUAAAUAGUCAGACGAGGCGAGACGCAGGGAACUGAAACAUCUCAGUACCUGCAGGAGAAGAAAGUAAGAACGAUUCCGUAAGUAGCGGCGAGCGAAAGCGGAGGAGCCCAAACCAUCGUAAAGAUGGGGUUAUAGGGCUGCCGAUAAAGUCGACUUGACAUGAUAGGAGAAGCGCAGGGGAAGGCGCAGCGAAGAGGGUGACACUCCCGUAUCCGAAAUCGUGGAGAGAGGCGAGGCAGUACCUGAGUACGUCGGGGCACGUGAAAUCCUGACGGAAUUAUCGAGGACCAUCUCGAAAGGCUAAAUACUCCUUAGUGACCGAUAGCGAACCAGUACCGUGAGGGAAAGGUGAAAAGAACCCCGGGAGGGGAGUGAAAGAGAACCUGAAACCAUAUGCUUACAAGAAGUCAGAGCCCGUUAAAGGGUGAUGGCGUGCCUUUUGUAGAAUGAGCCGGCGAGUUAUGAUAUGGAGCGAGGUUAAGCGGGAGACGCGGAGCCGAAGCGAAAGCGAGUCUUAAUAGGGCGACAGUUGCAUGUCAUAGACCCGAAACCGGGUGAUCUAGCCAUGAUCAGGUUGAAGUUGGGGUAAAACCCGAUGGAGGACCGAACCGACCCCCGUUGAAACGUUGGCGGAUGAAUUGUGGCUAGGGGUGAAAUUCCAAACGAACCCGGAGAUAGCUGGUUCUCCCCGAAAUAGCUUUAGGGCUAGCGUCGCGCGAAGUCACGUGAAGGUAGAGCACUGAAUAUGUGAUGGCCUCAUCCCGAGGUACUGAGCAUAAUCAAACUCCGAAUGUCACGAGGACAUGCGCGGCAGUCAGACUGCGGGUGAUAAGGUCCGUAGUCAAGAGGGAAACAGCCCAGACCAUCAGCUAAGGUCCCAAAAUAUAUGCUAAGUGGAAAAGGAUGUGGAGAUGUCCAGACAACCAGGAGGUUGGCUCAGAAGCAGCCACCCUUUAAAGAGUGCGUAACAGCUCACUGGUCGAAUGACUCUGCGCCGAAAAUUUACCGGGGCUAAGCAUAAUACCGAAGCUAUGGAUUUAUAGAGAAUAUAAGUGGUAGGGGAGCGUUCCAGUCAGCGAGGAAGCAUGAUCGUAAGGACAUGUGGAGCGGCUGGAAGAGAGAAUGCCGGUGUGAGUAGCGGCACGUGGGUGAGAAUCCCACGCACCGAAGACCCAAGGUUUCCAGAGGAAGGUUCGUCCGCUCUGGGUAAGUCGGGACCUAAGGCGAGGCCGAGAGGCGUAGUCGAUGGACAACGGGUGGAUAUUCCCGUACCUGGCGUGAGGGCGAUGGAGUGACGGAGAAGGCUAGGCGAUCCAGCUGCUGGAAUAGCUGGUGCAAGCGAGGUAGGGGACAUCCAGGCAAAUCCGGAUGUCAUAACCCGAAGGCGUGAAGCGUAUGGAACAUUACGAUAAGUACAGAAGUCGCCGAAGCCAUCUUCCAAGAAAAGCUUCUAGCGAUACCUCAAGUCAGCCCGUACCGAAAAUGGACACACAUGGGUGAGGAGAGAAUCCUAAGGUGAGCGAGAGAACUAUAGCUAAGGAACUCUGCAAAAUGACUCCGUAACUUCGGGAGAAGGAGUGCUCAGUGAAAGCUGAGCCGCAGUAAAACGGCCCAAGCGACUGUUUACCAAAAACACAGCUCUCUGCCAAGACGCAAGUCGAAGUAUAGGGGGUGACGCCUGCCCGGUGCUGGAAGGUUAAGAGGAGUGGUCAGUCUUAAGGCGAAGCCAUGAAUUGAAGCCCCAGUAAACGGCGGCCGUAACUAUAACGGUCCUAAGGUAGCGAAAUUCCUUGUCAGGUAAGUUCUGACCCGC
rnacentral:rRNA from 1 species